ACUCUCUGUAUGCACGGCUUUCUGUUUGCGUCGAUAUGAACGGAGUUGUGCCCUUGGCAUUUAUAAACUGGGCUCUCUCACAUGGUGGUGCAACAUCGGCUGUGACGGGGCCAAUGAAUCAGCUGAGAUUAGGAUGAGAGUGGACGUAUGUGUUGCUUUCAAUCACAGGGAUGUACAAUGAAUGAUGUAACACUACCACUAAAACUACUACUACAACUUAUAAGAUCAAUAGCUUAUACAUUGCACCAAGAUCCUCAUAUUCUGGUGUGAAUGUGUUUUUUCACCUAUAGAAAAAAUCUCAAGUGUCAGAGUCUUUUGUAUAGUGAUGCAGACCUUUUUCUCAAGGUCAGACUGUAAGAAAGAUGAAAGAAAGAUGUAAUGCGCCAGUGUCAGCUAAUCUACCAGCAGAACUAAUUGCUAUGAAUGAGGUGUUUUUACUACGGUGUACUAAUUCUGCUGUUGCACAUGAGCUCAGCUGUGUGUUCUGUUCUGCCUAAAUCUGUGUGUUUUGCCUGCAUAUUGCUGAUAUGAAGGGGAAUCCUGUUUGCAGCAGGAUAGAGACCGUAAUCACACGCCUACACCUUCGUAUUCACUUGACUAGAAUCGUCAGUUGUUGGUGCUAAGUGAUUUUCUUGCCACCGAAAGCCAAUCUGACAAACAAAACGUCCUUUUCAGACCAUUUAAAGUUCAUCAUUUCAGAUCUGAGAGCUCUCCAUUAUGUGUGGAGGAAGUAUUGUCUCAUACUGUAAAACCAUCCUUUUCACCCCCUCCUCAUGCAUUCAGACAUGUCUAGAAAAGCACACAAACUCAACAUUUUUCUACGUAAACACUGAACACCUCUUACCUGGAUUCUCAGGUUGUUCUAUAUAAUUUAAGUGCAGUUCUGAUAUGCAUUUCUUUUCCCCACAGUACAGGGGAAAGUGUUGAAGAGCCCAGUCACGUCACGCUUGAUGGGCCGUGUUCACUUCCCUUACACAACAGGGAGUUACAUAAUUGAACAGGAUUUGUGUGAAUCUGCGGGCUGUUUAUGUGACAACUGAAAAUCAGGUCAGACUUUUCAGGAGAAUCUAUUGUACUGUAAGCACACCUUUGAACCCCCCAAGUCCACAGUGUGCUUUAGUAUGCUACAGAAGGAACAUGUUCUGUACAAUGCUGUUUACUGAGGCAUUUUACGGUACAAUGAGUGUACACAUUCUUAGCCGAAGUAGCCCCGCUGUGAAUUAAAAUCCUAACCCUGGCACUGAUCAUACUGUUUUGUACCAACUGAACCCUAUACAAGCCCAUUUAUGCAUGUUAUGGUGACCAAAUGGCUGCGUGGAAAGGAGAAGAUUCAUUUGAAAUGCAUAGCUUUGAACUUUUAGGCUGACCCCCUGUGCACUACGACCACGAAUGCAUUGGUUGUAAUUUUACAAAGCAGUGAUUUCAUAGAAAAAUACAUGGCCCAUGAUGAUUGCUGUGCCACUGUGUAAGUGCAGUCUCAUGCAGGCAGAGGCUCCGACAGUGAGAUUGUUAUUACAGCAUAUCUCAUUAAACCAUCUGCUCCCUGAACAGUGCUCUCAGCCUGCCAGUGCAGUAUCUUACUUUAAAGCAGUUGCUUUCCAGAAGUCAACAUCCUCAGAUAGAUCACAUGACAAUGCUGCACACCCUGCAAUACUCUACUGUAACACACUUCUAUUUAAUUUCAUAACACGUUUAAAAGAGGAACUGCAAAAAAUAUUGUAAAACAGUAGCUAUCCAUGUCUUUUACUAUAAAGCAAGUAUAGGUAACAUGUAACAAUUGUAAAAUUAUCAAAAUGCUCAAAACGUCAAGAAAUGCAAACACCGUACUUAGAAACUGAGCCUCCAAAACGAGUAGUCAGGACCUCGCAAUACCAAGAGCACAGGUGUGGAAGACCCGGAAACACAAAGCAGAUUGGUUUUUUUUUGGGAGGGGACUGAAAGAGAUCAGGUCAGUUUGUCAAAUCAGCCCUAUAGGUCACUCCUAUGUGUCUGCGUGAGUGUGAUUUUUUUCUCUUUCCAGUCACUUUUGUAUGUUUGGUGUGUGCCUAUUGUGUUUUGGUUUUGACUCUCCUUUGUUCUCCCCCCACCCCUUGUCUGCACGCCUCACUCUCCACACCUGGUGGCACUCAUCGUUCUACACACCAGCCUGCCAUCAGGCCUGCAACCUACAAAAGAGCCAGCUCUACAAUCAUUCCCUGCUGAAUUGUUGCUGAACACAGUUUGUUGCAAGCGAAGUCCAACUCUGUUUCUGAUCGUUUCAUUUUUUUGCCUGUUUUUUGUCUUCUUUUUUAAGACCUAUUUUGUGAUCUCUCUCAGAUUCCCUGCAAGCCAUCCUGUCCACAUGUCCAGCCGGAGAUGACCACAGGUGAUCAGCUUCAGUGAAACAUUGGAGCAUACUGAGGAUUCAUGCAACCCGAACAUGUUAUUUAAAAGGAGACCACAUCUGACACGUCUGAAUUUAUUUCAUCCUGUUGAAGAGGGAGAAAAGGUGCUACAGUAAGCAGAUGAGGGACAGGACCUUGAUUAGCUGGCCCUAUGCUACAGCUGGCUUGGGGCAAUGAAAAAGACCUUGGUAAGAGAUUGUCUGCUGCUUCAUGUUUUCAAGUUAGAGAGAGAGAGAGAGAGAGGGAGAGGGUGUCUCAAAAUCUAUAUACCUUCUUAUCACAGGCACCAAAUUGAAUAAAACAUUGAGACACUAUUUCUUCACAUCUUGGUGCCUGAAAAAAAAUAACCAUGGGCUUCAAUAAGUUAAUAAGAUCUAAAGGAUCUCUAAUGUAGUGUAUUGUGUUGUGCCCGCGGUAACCAUGACAAGAAGCAAGAUGACAAUAAAUCAUGUUUUGGGUGUCUACAAAACAGGUAUGGUGUGAUUCUGGGCCGUGAUGCAAGGGUGACUUUCUCUCGUCAGACACCAGUGAAUUCUGAGGACUGUUUGCAUCUAAACAGAGCUUUAUAGGACUAGUCUAGUAGUUGUGUCUUGUAGAGAAAUUAUAUAUAUAUUUUUUAAUUCAGGAAAUUAAGGAAAUAAUACUAAGUACUCUUUUAGACUGUAGCCAAAAAGACUUAUCUUGACACCCCCA